UAGAUUGGACUAGAUAAAUAUUAGUGUAAUCCUUGUUUGUUUCCAUACGAGACUAGUUUUAAUGGGAUUAGCUGAGACUCGCCUUCACUAAAUGCGUCGCUAGCUGGGCUUAACGAGUCCCCUCAAAAUCCAUGGGACUAGUUAAGCACUUCCUUUUGUCCUGCUAGAUUCACCUCCUCGACCUCGGUUUCGACGGCACAUGCUUUAGACACAGCUUAUCUCCGACGACGAACUCGUCAACUGUUUCAUCUCCGCCGAUUACCUCGAUGAAUGCGUCAUCUCCGCCGAUUACGUCGUCGACUGCAUCUUUUUAGUCAUCUUCUUCUUCCUCGCAAUUGUUAUGGCUGUGAAGCAACUCCUGCCGCUGAGCUGAUGGUGGAUUUUGGAUGAUGACUUUGAUGAACUAAUUGGGUGAUGAAUGAGCUCGGAUUGAGUGAGAUUCUUUUCCUCUGUCACACCAAAUACGUUGGCGACCAUGAGAGCUUCUUCAGCGUUGGCGGCCAUGCGUUGACUCCAAGCUCAUACAUCUGCAGGUUUAAUUGGUUUCUAGGAAUAACCCAACACCAUGGUUGAUUUUUCGGAUUAUGUUUGAAACCCAGAUGAAGUUUUCGUUGGUGAUAUCAUAUUUGACUAUCAGUUGGAUCUACUUUGAUAUAGAAAAUGAAAAUAUGGUUAUUUGCUUACUCGAUUGAAUUAUGUAAUUUUAGUGUAUAUACUUGUUAAUUUUGGUUGAAAUUUUAAUUGGUUUUUACUGCUUUGGUGUUGGAUUUGAGAACUAGAAAAUUUGGUUGAACUUCUGAUGUUGGUUGAAAUUGAAGUUGAAGCAAAUAAUAUGGACAUUUUCUUAUAUAUCACGGGAUUUUUUUUCUUUUUUUUUUAAAAAAAAAAUUAUCCUGCUUCUUAGUCGGCACUACACCAAAUGUUUCACUAAAUCAAUCCAACUUAGUUUAGUCUAAGCCAGUCCAGCUUAGUCCCUGAAUCUAGUCUAGUGCGUUUGUUGCACCGGACUAUCUCGGACUGGACUAGCUUCAGGGACUAAGCUGGACUGACUUAGACUAGACUAAGUUGGACUGAUUUAGUGAAACGUUUGGUGCAGUGCCAGACUAAAAA